CAAGAGCGUAUAUUAAAGUUGCUGCGGUUAAAAAGCUCGUAGUUGGAUUUCAGUCUAGGAAGGUUAACUCGCCGAAAGGUUGUACGUUGAUUUUCCUCAGACUUCGUCAGAAGCUCGUGCUGCACUUAACUGUGUGGUACGAUGUUCUGACCUUUUACCUUGAGGAAAGUAGAGUGUUUCAGGCAGGCUACCCAGCUUGAAUACAUUAGCAUGGAAUAAUGAAAUGGAUCUCGGUUCGAUUUCGUUGGUUCUAGAGCUGAGGUGAUGAUCAAUAGGAACAGGCGAAGGUAUUCGUACUUGAGAGUGAGGAGUGGAAUCCGAUGAUCUCUUAAAGACGAUCCGAGGCGAAAGCAUUUGUCAAGGAUGUUUUCAUUGA
rnacentral:rRNA from 1 species